rnacentral:sRNA from 1 species
GAGGCCUUUUGGGAGCUCACUGGCUUCGGAUUCCAUCGGAACUCCGAAGUUAAGCGAGUUCGCGGUAGAGCAAUCCCAUGAUGGGUGACCCACUAGGAAGUUCUCGUGUGAGUUUCCAAAAACAAAACCGUGAGGGCAUGGUCGAGGCUCAAAGCAGACAAUAUCGUGCUACGGUGGAGUCGAGCCCGGGAUAUGGUGGGGGUCUGGGCGGGGAUGUGACAAUUUGGUAUCGAAGUCAAUCCUUGACCGGAAGUGUGCCGACGAGGACGUUGGGCCCCUAAAGGGGGUGGAUUGUAAUAUCACACAUCGCCCAGGGGAAUGGAUCAUGUAAGCCUUAUAUGUAUAUUCUCAUCUUUAUCUAGCACAAGGUUUUUGGGAGCUCACUGGCUUCGGGUUCCAUCAGAACUUCGAAGUUAAGCGAGUUCGCGGUAAAGCAGUCCCUUGAUGGGUGACCCACUGGGAAGUUCUUGUGUGAAUUCC